rnacentral:rRNA from 1 species
AAAAAUAAAAUGGCAAGUCGAACGAGAGACCUUCGGGUCUCUAGUGGCGAACGGGUGAGUAACACGUAGGGAACCUGCCCUCAAACCGGGAAUACGCUCUGGAAACGGAGAACAAAUCCCCUUGUACAGGAAGGAGGCAUCUUCUUUCUGUGAAACAUCCUUUCGGGGAUGGGGCGCGGAUGGACCUGCGGUGCAUUCUUUGGUUGGCGGGGUAAAGGCCCACCAAGACGAUGAUGCAUAGCCGGCCUGAGAGGGCGGACGGCCACAUUGGGACUGAGACACGGCCCAGACUCCUGCGGGAGGCAGCAGUAGGGAAUUUUCGUCAAUGGGCGCAAGCCUGAACGAGCGAUGCCGCGUGAGUGAAGAAGGCCUUCGGGUCGUAAAGCUCUGUUGCGGGGGAAAAAAGGCAGCAUCAGGAAAUGGGUGCUGACUGAUGGUGCCCCGCCAGAAAGUCACGGCUAACUACGUGCCAGCAGCCGCGGUAAUACGUAGGUGGCGAGCGUUAUCCGGAAUGAUUGGGCGUAAAGGGUGCGCAGGCGGUCCUGCAAGUCUGGAGUGAAACGCAUGAGCUCAACUCAUGCAUGGCUUUGGAAACUGGAGGACUGGAGAGCCGGAGAGGGCGGUGGAACUCCAUGUGUAGCGGUAAAAUGCGUAGAUAUAUGGAAGAACACCAGUGGCGAAGGCGGCCGCCUGGCCUGUUGCUGACGCUGAGGCACGAAUCACUAGUGAAUU